rnacentral:rRNA from 1 species
AGAAUGCCCCUUUUUGGAGGGCAGGUCUGGUGCCAGCAGCCGCAGAAAAUUCCAGCUCCAAUAGCGUAUAUUAAUGUUGUUGAGGUUAAAAAGCUGGUUGUUGUCCCUUGGGAUUAGCCGGCUGUUCCGCCUCACCGCGUGCACUGUCUCGGCUAGGUCUUUCCUCCGGGGGAACCGCAUGCCCUUCACAGGGUGUGCCGGGGAACCAGUACUUUUACUCUGACCAAAUUAGUUCGCUUAAAGAAGGCCUAUGCUCGAAUACAUUAGCAUGGAAUAAUAGAAUAGGACGUGUGGUUCUAUUUUGUUGGUUUCUAGGACCGCCGUAAUGAUUAAUAGGGACAGUCGGGGGCAUCAGUAUUCAAUUGUCAGAGGUGAAAUUCUUGGAUUUAUUGAAGACUAACUCCUGCGAAAGCAUUUGCCAAGGAUGUUUUCAUUAAUCAGGAACGAAAGUUAGGGGAUCGACGACGAUCAGAUACCGUCUUAGUCUUAACCAUAACUUUAACAUACGCUAUUGGAGCUGGCGUUAUUUUGGCAGCCGGCACCCGACUUACCCUAAAC